UACAGAGGUCUCUAGCGUUGUUCGGAUUCAUUGGGCGUAAAGGGUGCGUAGGCGGCGCGGUAAGUCGGGUGUGAAAUCUCGGGGCUUAACUCCGAAACUGCAUUCGAUACUGCCGUGCUUGAGGACUGGAGAGGAGACUGGAAUUUACGGUGUAGCGGUGAAAUGCGUAGAUAUCGUAAGGAAGACCAGUGGCGAAGGCGGGUCUCUGGACAGUUCCUGACGCUGAGGCACGAAGGCCAGGGGAGCAAACGGG
rnacentral:rRNA from 1 species